rnacentral:rRNA from 1 species
ACGUUUCAACAACGGAUCUCUUGGCUCUCGCAUCGAUGAAGAACGCAGCGAAAUGCGAUAAGUAAUGUGAAUUGCAGAAUUCAGUGAAUCAUCGAAUCUUUGAACGCACCUUGCGCUCUUUGGUAUUCCGAAGAGCAUGCCUGUUUGAGUGUCA